rnacentral:rRNA from 1 species
GAAUCUUCCGCAAUGGACGAAAGUCUGACGGAGCAACGCCGCGUGAGUGAUGAAGGUUUUCGGAUCGUGAAGCUCUGUUGCCAGGGAAGAACACUUAGGAGAGUAACUGCUUUUAAGGUGACGGUACCUGCGCAGAAAGCCCCGGCUAACUACGUGCCAGCAGCCGCGGUAAUACGUAGGGGGCAAGCGUUGUCCGGAAUUAUUGGGCGUAAAGCGCGCGCAGGCGGUCAGUUAAGUUUGGUGUGUGAUGCCAGGGCUGAACCCUGGGUCGCAAUGAAAACUGGGUGACUUGAGUACAGAAGAGGAGAGUGGAAUUCCACGUGUAGCGGUGAAAUGCGUAGAUAUGUGGAGGAACACCAGUGGCGAAGGCGACUCUCUGGGCUGUAACUGACGCUGAGGCGCGAAAGCGUGGGUAGCAAACAG